AACACUUCCUUCUACAUCGGGCGCCGUCGCCUCAACUGCGCGUGGGGGGCGAGGCGCCCACCCCGCACAAGAACAGAGGAGCGGGGGAGAAGAGACGGCCUCGCUGCUCACUGGGCCCCUUUGUGUGACUAAAUUUGGCAAGAAUAUGGAUCUGAGCCAGUCUUUCCACGUGUGCUCCCAGCUCCCAGCUGAGAAGGCCAAGGGUUCUCUUCCGGUGCUCCAGGAAAGUACCUGAUUGACAAGAUCUACAUCCAAUGCCCAGAAAACACAUCCUACACAGGCACAGUGAAGCGUGGAGUUGAAGAAUUUUCCAGAAAACCAGUUUGGCUAUUAAGGGAACCUGUCGACACAGAGCAGAGCAAGAUAAGGCCAGGUUUCAGAAAGAAUAGCUGUUUACCAUCAAAGCAACUGGGUUCCACACAGACAUGGUAUAUUAUACACAAAGACGAAGGAUAUGGGUCCACUCUCCGUCAAGGAAUGUUAUAAAUCCACGUGGUGUCCCUGGGUGUCAGGCUUGGCCAGAACAUCUGUGGCUGGAGAAGCCAAUGUGGCUCAGGAGCUCCCUGCUGGCUGCACAUCUGAACGGCUUCAGGAGUACAAGUUUCCCCAUCAAAGGUUUGGAAUAAAUUACACUAAAAAA
rnacentral:lncRNA from 1 species